ensembl:lncRNA
CUAAAUUAACUACUGUAGCUUUAAUACAAGCAGGCAAAAAAUAUAAAGUGGCUGUUAAACAUAGAAACACAUACAUCCCUCACUGUGUUAGAUACCGGACGAAAUGAUUGAUCUUAUAAGGCAGCAUAAUUUUGCUGCCAACUAUUUGGAACGGCCUCGCGUCUGGAGCUCGCCUGUGGUGCUUAAAAAUGCUGUGUAGGAAGGCAGCUCGCUGGGUUUGGAAUGGAGCCAUUCUCUCCUGUCAGAUGUCUUUGAGGGAGCAAAUAGGAGACCAAAGUGACGUUUUGUUGCACUAAAUGAAAUGAGAAUGGCAGUGGAAUAUACGGCCGGCAGCUCUUGAGUGCCACUGACAUUUCCAGCGGAUGACGACACAGAUGGUACCGAAGCCAGUGAUUAGUCUCUGCAUGUCUCUGCAUUUACGGCCAUUUCAACGGAGCGGCACUGGUCUCCACGGUCGUCUGUCUCAGCCUGUGCUGCUGAUUCAAGCAGCUUGUGCUCCACCACAGACUGUGUUUCCCAUGGUGUGUCUGAAUCUCUGCUGUUCUUCCUGUGGUGGACAUGCAGCUGCUGUGGAGUUGUUCUCAAACUGAUGAGCAGAGAAUAGACAGGAAAUUGUAUGGAAACAGUCACACAAGCUAGAGUCGAAUAUGUGUCGCCAGCUAGAGCAGAAUUGCAUCACUUUUGAACUGACCUAAAGGUAUGUUUUUAUAAGCCAGGAAUUUUUUGAACCAAUCAUGCACUAUGGUUAACAUUACCUAAAUUAACUCCUUGCAUAUUAUAAAUAUAGCUGUUCAUAACAAAUGGUUUAUACAGUACUAUUGUAACUCAAGUGUUACUUUAUUAUCUGAAAGCAAUGUUCUGCUGUGUCAAAUCUAGUCCUCAGAUUUGUAACUGAUCUGAAUCUGAUUUGAUCUGAAAUUGAUGAUUCCCAGUGUCAGUACCGUUCCAUAAACUUCAGUAAGCUGCAUGAGAGCUCACCGCUAAGCUACGUCUGCAACAAAUUCUGCCUUUAGCACAGGAGUCAAUAUCAUGGUCUGAUGUAGGUAGAGUUCGGAAAGGAGGCAUAGUUCAGCUAGAAAUCAUCCUCCUACGCUGCCUAUUCUAAAAUAUAUAAAAGUCUAUUUCUGAUUUACUCUGAGUACAAUAAUCCCGCUCAUGUGGAGCAGAGGCUUUUCCAGUGAGGAGUCAAUUGAGGGAAGAGGGCUUGUAUUGCUCUCCGUCUGAGAGGUAAUUAAUUUCAAUUCCAUUCAUUUGUCUCUUUGCCUGACAUUUUAAGCACUGACACUGAUGUGGAGUUUAUAUGGAUUAAUAAUACCCGGCUCAUUCCCGUUGUGGCAUUAACCUGCUUUUGUGUAUUAUCAGAGAAAAACAGACCUGAACACAAGCGCGACUGACCCACAUCAUUACCCUGAACAUGAAAAAAUGUUUACAGGUAAUCUCAAGUUAAUGUGACAUCUGAUAUUCAUUUACACGAGCCCGGCCUGUUUACUGUCCUUCACGAGCAACCACAAAACAAAAGACCUUUGUAAUAUUUAAUAAAGAUGCUUUUGUUAUCA